UAGAGAAUAUUUCGCAAUGGGCGAAAGCCUGACGAAGCGACGCCGCGUGGAGGAAGAAGGUCUUCGGAUCGUAAACUCCUUUUGGCAGGGAAGAACCCCGCAUUGCGGGGUGACGGUACCUGCAGAAUAAGGCGCUGCUAACCUCGUGCCAGCAGCCGCGGUAAUACGAGGGCGCCAAGCGUUAUCCGGAUUUAUUGGGCGUAAAGAGUUCAAAGGCGGUUAUGUUAGUCCAUUGUCAAAGCUCGCAACUCAAUUGCGAAAGCGCAUUGGAAACGGCAUAACUUGAGGAAAUCAGAGGCAAGUAGAACGGCCGGUGUAGGGGUGAAAUCCGUUGAUAUCGGCCGGAAUACCAAAGGCGAAGGCAUCUUGCUGGGAUUUUCCUGACGCUGAAAGAACGAAA
rnacentral:rRNA from 1 species